AUCAACGCUGGCGGCGCGCUUAACACAUGCAAGUCGCACGAGAAAGUGGAGCAAUCCAUGAGUAAAGUGGCGUACGGGUGAGUAACACGUGGAUCAUCUACCUUUUGGCGGGGAAUACCUCCUGGAAACGGGAGACAAUACCGCAUAAGCUCGAAAGAGGAAAGCAGCAAUGCACCGAAAGAGGAGUCCGCGGUCGAUUAGCUAGAUGGUGAGGUAAUGGCUCACCAUGGCGAAGAUCGAUAGCCGGCCUGAGAGGGCUCACGGCCACACUGGCACUGAAACACGGGCCAGACUCCUACGGGAGGCAGCAGUGGGGAAUCUUGCACAAUGGAGGAAACUCUGAUGCAGCGACGCCGCGUGAGUGAUGAAGCCCUUCGGGGUGUAAAGCUCUUUCGACAGGAACGAUAAUGACGGUACCUGAAGAAGAAGCUGCGGCUAACUACGU
rnacentral:rRNA from 1 species